rnacentral:rRNA from 1 species
CUACGGGAGGCUCCAGUGGGGAAUAUUGGACAAUGGGGGAAACCCUGAUCCAGCAAUGCCGCGUGUGUGAAGAAGGCCUGCGGGUUGUAAAGCACUUUCGGUUGGGAGGACUGCUUCUAGCACUAAUAUUGUUGGAAGUUGACGUUACCUUCAGAAGAAGCACCGGCUAACUCCGUGCCAGCAGCCGCGGUAAUACGGAGGGUGCAAGCGUUAAUCGGAAUUACUGGGCGUAAAGCGCGCGUAGGCGGCUAGAUCAGUCGGGUGUGAAAGCCCCGGGCUUAACCUGGGAACUGCAUCCGAUACUGUCUAGCAUGAGUACAGGAGAGGAGAGUGGAAUUCCACAUGUAGCGGUGAAAUGCGUAGAUAUGUGGAGGAACACCAAUGGCGAAGGCAGCUCUCUGGCCUGAUACUGACGCUGAGGUGCGAAAGCGUGGGGAGCAACAGGAUUAGAUACCCUAGUAGUC